AGAGUUUGAUCCUGGCUCAGAACGAACGCUGGCGGCAGGCUUAACACAUGCAAGUUGAACGGGAUUUGUAUGGUGCUUGCACCAUGUAAUGAGAGUAGCGCACUGGUGAGUAACACGUGGGAACAUACCUUGAAGUGGGGGACAACAGUUGGAAACGACUGCUAAUACCGCAUAAUCCCUGAGGGGGAAAGAUUUAUCGCUUUAAGAUUGGCCCGCGGAAGAUUAGGUAGUUGGUGGGGUAAAGGCCUACCAAGCCGACGAUCUAUAGCUGGUCUGAGAGGACGAACAGCCACAUUGGAACUGAGACACGGUCCAGACUCCUACGGGAGGCAGCAGUGAGGAAUAUUGGGCAAUGGAGGAAACUCUGACCCAGCCAUGCCGCGUGAGUGAAGAAGGUUUUCGAAUUGUAAAGCUCUUUCGGAUGGGACGAUGAUGACGGUACCAUCUAAAGAAGCCCCGGCAAACUUCGUGCCAGCAGCCGCGGUAAUACGAAGGGGGCAAGCGUUGUUCGGAAUUACUGGGCGUAAAGGGUGUGUAGGCGGAUUUGUAAGAUAGUGGUGAAAUACCUGAGCUCAACUUAGGAAUUGCCAUUAUAACUAUAGAUCUGGAGUGACAGAGAGGAUAUUGGAAUACCCAGUGUAGAGGUGAAAUUCGUAGAUAUUGGGUAGAACACCGGUGGCGAAGGCGGCUAUCUGGCCAUAAACUGACGCUGAGGCACGAAAGCAUGGGGAUCAAACAGGAUUAGAUACCCUGGUAGUCCAUGCUGUAAACGAUGAAUGCUAGUUGUCGGCAAAAGCCGGUGACGCAGUUAACGCGAUAAGCAUUCCGCCUGGGGAGUACGGUCGCAAGAUUAAAACUCAAAGGAAUUGACGGGGACCCGCACAAGCGGUGGAGCAUGUGGUUUAAUU
rnacentral:rRNA from 1 species